CCUACGGGAGGCAGCAGUGGGGAAUUUUGCGCAAUGCUCGUAAGAGUGACGCAGCGACGUCGCGUGAAUGAUGAAGGCCUUCGGGUCGUAAAGUUCUUUCUACAGGGAAGAAAAUGCCUACAAGUAACUCUGUUUGUAUUUACGGUACCUGUAUAAGCAGCCUCGGGUAACUCCGUGCCAGCCGCCGCGGUAAUUCGGAGGGGGCGUGCGUUGUUCGGUUUGACUGGGCGUAAAGAGCACGUAGGUGGUGUUGUAAGUCAUUAGUCAAAGUGUAGAGCUCAAAUUGAGUAAGGCAAGUGAUACUAUAAUACUAGAGUAUCAGAGAGGAUUGCAGAAUUCGUGGGGUAGCGGUGAAAUGCGUAGAUAUCAGGAGGAAUACCGUUAGCGAAGGCAGCAAUCUGGCUGGAAACUGACGCUGAGGUGCGAAAGCGUGGGUAGCAAACAGGAUUAGAUACCCCUGUAGUC
rnacentral:rRNA from 1 species